rnacentral:rRNA from 1 species
UAGUAACUGCGAGUGAAGCGGGAAAAGCUCAAAUUUAAAAUCUGGCGGUCUUUGGCCGUCCGAGUUGUAAUUUAGAGAAGUGCCUUCCGCGCCGGACCAUGCACAAGUCUCCUGGAAUGGAGCGUCAUAGAGGGUGAGAAUCCCGUCUUUGGCAUGGAGCCCCGGUGCUUCUGUGAUGCGCUCUCGAAGAGUCGAGUUGUUUGGGAAUGCAGCUCAAAAUGGGUGGUGAACUCCAUCUAAAGCUAAAUAUUGGCGAGAGACCGAUAGCGAACAAGUACCGUGAGGGAAAGAUGAAAAGCACUUUGGAAAGAGAGUGAAACAGUACGUGAAAUUGUUGAAAGGGAAACGCUUGAAGUCAGUCGCGUCGACCGAGACUCAGCCUUGCCUUGGCUUGGUGAACUUCUCGGCCGACGGGUCAGCAUCAAUUUUGCCCCUCGGAUAAUGGCAAGGGAAAGGUGGCACCUUUACGGGUGUGUUAUAGUCUCCUGUCGCAUGCGAGGGUCAGGAUUGAGGAACUCAGCGCGCACCUCACGGUGUCGGGGCUUCGGCCCACGUCACGCGCUUAGGAUGCUGGCGUAAUGGCUUUAAACGACCCGUCUUGAAACACGGACCAAGGAGUCCAACAUGCCCGCGAGUGUUCGGGUGGAAAACCCGUGCGCGUAAUGAAAGUGAAAGUUGGGACCUCUGUCGUGGAGGGCACCGACGCCCGGACCAGACCUUCUGUGACGGAUCUGC